rnacentral:rRNA from 1 species
UACAGAGGGGGCAAGCGUUGUUCGGAAUUACUGGGCGUAAAGGGCGCGUAGGCGGCCUGUUAAGUCGAACGUGAAAUCCCCGGGCUCAACCCGGGAACUGCGUCCGAUACUGGCAGGCUUGAAUCCGGGAGAGGGAUGCGGAAUUCCAGGUGUAGCGGUGAAAUGCGUAGAUAUCUGGAGGAACACCGGUGGCGAAGGCGGCAUCCUGGACCGGCAUUGACGCGUGAGGCGCGAAAGCCAGGGGAGCAAAACGGG